NNNNCUUAAGCAUAUCAAUAAGCGGAGGAAAAGAAACCAACAGGGAUUGCUUUUAGUAGCGGCGAGUGAAGCGGCAAUAGCUCAAAUUUGAAAUCUGGCACUUUCAGUGUCCGAGUUGUAAUUUGAAGAAGGUAUCUUUGGGUCUAGCUCUUGUCUAUGUUUCUUGGAACAUAACGUCACAGAGGGUGAGAAUCUCUUGCGAUGAGAUUUCUAGAUCUUUGUAUAGUUCCUUCUUAGAGUUUAGUUGUUUGGGAAUGCAGCUCUAAGUGGGUUUUUAAUUCCAUCUAAAGCUAAAUAUCGGCGAGAGACUGAUAGCGAACAAGUACAGUGUUGGAUAGAUGAAAAGAACUUUGAAAAGAGAGUGAAAAAGUACGUGAAAUUGUUGAAAGGGAAUGGGCUUUGAGAUCAGACUUGGCAUUUUGUAUGUUACUCUCUCGUGGGUGGCCUCUACAGUUUAUCCGGGCCAGCAUCAGUUUGAGCGGUAGGAGAAUUGCGUAUGAAAUGUGGCUCCGCUCUCGGGUCGAGUGUUAUAUCUUUCGUCGAUACUGCCAGCUUAGACUGAGGACUGCGGCUUCGGCCUAAGAUGUUGGGGAUAAUGAUCUUAAGUCGCCCGUCUUGAAACACGG
rnacentral:ncRNA from 1 species